rnacentral:rRNA from 1 species
UACGAGGGGGGCAAGCGUUGUUCGGAAUUAUUGGGCGUAAAGGGCGCGUAGGCGGUCGGGUAAGUCUGGUGUGAAAUCUCACAGCUUAACUGUGAAACUGCAUUGGAUACUAUCCGGCUAGAGGAAUGGAGGGGAGACUGGAAUACUUGGUGUAGCAGUGAAAUGCGUAGAUAUCAAGUGGAACACCAGUGGCGAAGGCGAGUCUCUGGACAUUUCCUGACGCUGAGGCACGAAAGCCAGGGGAGCAAACGGG